rnacentral:rRNA from 13 species
GGGAACUGAAACAUCUAAGUACCCCGAGGAAGAGAAAUCAACCGAGAUUCCGAAAGUAGCGGCGAGCGAAAUUGGAUUAGCCCUUAAGCUUUUAAUGAUGCAGGUGAAGAGUCUGGAAAGUCUCGCAACAAAGGGUGAUAGCCCCGUAACCGACACAUCAUAAUCAGUGAAAUCGAGUAGGGCGGGACACGUGAUAUCCUGUCUGAAUAUGGGGGGACCAUCCUC